GAACUCAUUGAUCUGUCCAGAAUUCCCUUCCUCUGAAAGCUCCAUGUGUGUUCUUCUCAAAGUGUCAACUCAAUCAAAAAGAAUGACAUUUCCAACUGACAAAGUCUAUUAGUCAAGGUAUAUGGGGAGCUGUACUCCCUGGCUAGAUCUUUCCAAAAAACUUUGACAUCCCUUUGCAAGCAAAUGUAGGUUAGCCAAAUCUGUUUUAUAAAGUGCCUCUCUCCAUCUGGUAAUUUGUGAUAGCAU
rnacentral:snRNA from 1 species